CUAGAAAUACGACGAG
rnacentral:sRNA from 1 species